GGGUCUGGGGGGAGCUGCCGCCCAUGGGGGACCCGUGCUGGAGCAGUUUGCUCCUGGGGGAUGGAUGGACCCCGUGGUACGGAGCCAUGUGGGAGCAGCUCUUGAAGAAAUGUUUUAGUUACCUCCGAUUCUCAUACCUAGCAAGAAUGACAAAAAUACAAACUUAAGGAUAGUCUGAAAGUCAUCAGAGAGGAUGGAGAGGGGCAGUCAUUGAAAUCUAAGAAAGUGCAGAAUCAUGAUACCUCAUCUGAGGAAGCCUAAGAGGAUAAGGAAGUCAAUUUCUCUUUCAUAUGACUUUCUGAAUCAAGUGGAUGCUUUAAAAUCUUCCAAAAUGAGUUUGCCAGCGUCUUUAGUUAUAUAUACUGCACCUAGAACACCAUUAAACCUCAAGAAUGUUUGGGCAAUAAGUUGUGAAUGAUAUAUCACAAAGGGUAUAAACUGAGUGUAACACCACUUAAGUGAAUACAAUUCAGCGAUAAUUCAUCCAUAGAAACAAGAAGCGAAUAUGUUUUGGAUGGAGAUCAGAUGGUGACUGUCAAUUGCUGUUAUGCUUUUGUUUAGACCAAAUUGAUUAGAUGGAAUCAAAGCGUUGAUACUGAGGGGUCUCUAGGUCCAUGAAAUUUUCUGUAACACACUUACAGUUGCCUAUAUAUAACUAGUGAUAUUUUGAUGCCAUGGGGUAUUUCACGUGGAAUCCCACUGCUGGUUGGGACUCUCAAAGAUAUGAUGUCAUAUCUGCAGCCACACAUGAAUGUCUCAGAUCCCUUUGUUAUCCUAAAAAAAAUAGGUAGCAAUGUGUGGAAAACAUCAGGCCAAGUAUUUUUAUCUGGUGACAUUCUACGUUAGGAGAAAAAAUACCGAAAGAAAAUCUGCCUUGAACUGAACAUAAUACAGCAGCAAAAAUAAACUGUGGUUUAGAAAGCUAUAUAAAACUCUU
rnacentral:lncRNA from 1 species